GCCCUGUGAGCAUGAAGCCACUGUCUCUUUCCUACUUUGUGAAAUGAGUCCUUCGUUGAAGCUUGAGAUGAGCAACACCUUCAUCUUUGGUAAGAAGAAUGCAGUUCCAGGGGGACCAUUCCAAGGACUUAUCCCACCUGACCAUGACCAGGUCAUUGAGAUCCUUCCAGGCACUGAGCACUGACUGCGAUGCCCAGAUGUUCUCCACCAGGUUGCUUUCUAUGAGACAGCCCCAACGCAGACAUUUUGUGACUUCAAUAGCUCUCCAUUUCAUCAGGGUGUGCAAUUCUUCUAACUCCCAGAGCCAGCCUAAAGCUAAAUGAACAGUCCCAAGGAAGGUAUC